AUUGAACGCUGGCGGCAUGCCUUACACAUGCAAGUCGAACGGCAGCGCGGGGCAACCUGGCGGCGAGUGGCGAACGGGUGAGUAAUAUAUCGGAACGUGCCCUGGAGUGGGGGAUAACGUAGCGAAAGUUACGCUAAUACCGCAUACGAUCCAAGGAUGAAAGCAGGGGACCUUCGGGCCUUGGUGCUCCUGGAGCGGCCGAUAUCUGAUUAGCUAGUUGGUGGGGUAAAAGCCUACCAAGGCGAUGAUCAGUAGCUGGUCUGAGAGGACGACCAGCCACACUGGAACUGAGACACGGUCCAGACUCCUACGGGAGGCAGCAGUGGGGAAUUCUGGACAAUGGGGGCAACCCUGAUCCAGCAAUGCCGCGUGUGUGAAGAAGGCC
rnacentral:rRNA from 1 species